rnacentral:rRNA from 1 species
GACGAACGCUGGCGGCGUGCUUAACACAUGCAAGUCGAACGGAGUGGCGAACGGGUGAGUAACACGUGGGUGACCUGCCCUGCACUUCGGGAUAAGCCUGGGAAACUGGGUCUAAUACCGGGUAGUGUGGGAUGGGCCCGCGGCCAAUCUGCUUGUUGGUGGGGUAAUGGCCUACCAAGGCGGUGACGGGUAGCCGGCCUGAGAGGGUGGAGGGCCACAGUGGGACUGAGGGACGGGCAAGGCUGAUACGGGAGGCAGCAGUGAGGAAUAGUGCACAAUGGGCGGAGGGCUGAUGCAGGGACGCAGCGUGGGGGAUGACGGCCUUCGGGUUGUAAACUCCUUUCACCAUCGACGCGGUAGGUGGAGAGAAAGCACCGGCUAACUACGUGCCAGCAGCCGCGGUAAUAC